rnacentral:rRNA from 1 species
UACAGAGGGUGCAAGCGUUGUUCGGAAUUACUGGGCGUAAAGGGCGCGUAGGCGGUUUAGUAAGUCAGAUGUGAAAGCCCGGGGCUCAACUCCGGAAUUGCAUUUGAAACUGCUAGGCUAGAGUGCAGUAGAGGAUGGCGGAAUACCCAGUGGAGAGGUGAAAUUCGUAGAUAUUGGGUGGAACACCGGUGGCGAAGGCGGCCAUCUGGGCUGUAACUGACGCUGAGGCGCGAAAGCGUGGGGAGCAAACAGG